GAUGAACGCUGGCGGCGUGCCUAAUACAUGCAAGUCGAGCGAACGGACGCGACGCUUGCUUCUUUGAUGUUAGCGGCGGACGGGUGAGUAACACGUGGAUCCCCUACUUAUCAGACUGGGAUAUCUACGGGACACCGGCGCUAACACCGGAUGAUAUUUUGCACCGCAUGGUUCAAAAGUGAAAGACGGUCUUGCUGUCUCUACUAGAUGCAUAUGCGCUGCAUUAGCUAGUUGUUAAGGUAACGGCUUACCAAGGCAACGAUGCAUAGCCGACGUGAGAGGGUGAUCGGCCACACUGGAGCGUGGACACGGUCCUGGCUCCUGCGGUAGGCAGCAGUAGGGAAUCUUCCGCAGUGGGCGAAAGCCUGACAGAGCGGCGCCGCGUGAGUGGUGGAGGUCUUCGGAGCGUAAUACUCUGUUAUGAGUGAUGAACAUAUGUGUAAGUAACUGUACACAUCGUGACGGUACCUAAUCAGAAAGCCACGGCUAACUACGUG
rnacentral:rRNA from 1 species